CCUGUCUCGAAAAACAAAACAAAACUAAAAAGAAAAGCCCAACCCUAAAAAAAAAACCCUAUGUAAGCCCUUUACCUGUUCAGUUUGGGGCUGCCUUUUUUCCUCACUCUGGCAGAGGCAGCCAUUCUUCUGGAUUCCUCCCUCCUAAUAAAUCUCUUGAGUGAGGUCUGUCAUAAGGACUUUCUUUUGCGUGGAAAUGGAGUAGAGAAGUAACUACUUUUGUCACAGCAGAGCUGUAAUGGCUCUUGCUGGAGCAGAGCAGAAUUUCUACAUUUCUGCGGGGAAACUCACUUAGCCUGGGCAGAGCAGGGGUUAACACUUUGGCUGGGGAAAUUUUCCCUUGCUGGAACAGAAUUGUUACACUCCUGGGAAGCUGAGCAGAGCUGUAAUAUUUCUCCAGAGCAGAGCAGAGCCAGCGGGGGGUGGGGGGAGAGAGAUAAAAAAGCAGAGACAGAGCAGAGCAGAGAGCAAAGAGCAGAGAGCAGAGCAGAGCACAGCAGAACCUCCCUGUGGAAACCCUCUUCUGCUGGAGCAGAGUUGUUACACUUGCAUUAGGGAAACCUUUCCUGAAACAAGGACUGUGACACUUUGCUGGGGAAAUCAUCCCUGACGGGUACAGAGCUGUAACACUUCCGUUCAGAUACCCUUCCCUUCAGUGCAGUAGGUAUACCCUUGGUUUACGAUGGCCAGGGUAUGGUUCCCUUCAGAGGUGUAACACUUGCUCACUCAUCUCUGCUCUGUCUUUAGUCAGAGUCUUCACUCAUCCCUGUUGUCUUUGGCAUGUUGCUUUCUCUACCCCACAGUUUGGUUUCUUUUACCAUGAUUUAACAUGAUGCUCACUUCAUUGGAUUUGUGGUAAAGGGCACAAAGAAACAUCUUAAACAUGCCUGACAGGGGACAAGCAAUCAGGCUCAGUAACAUAGGCAUGUUGUCACUUACCCCAACCACCUCUUUCAUGGUACAAAUACUCUACUUUGAAGUUAACCUGCCAAUGUCAUACUGUCAAGAAGUGUCUGACCAGAACACAGAUCUUGUUGUGG
rnacentral:lncRNA from 1 species